GUAGGUGGCAAGCGUUGUCCGGAAUUAUUGGGCGUAAAGCGCGCGCAGGCGGUUCUUUAAGUCUGAUGUGAAAGCCCACGGCUCAACCGUGGAGGGUCAUUGGAAACUGGAGAACUUGAGUACAGAAGAGGAAAGCGGAAUUCCACGUGUAGCGGUGAAAUGCGUAGAGAUGUGGAGGAACACCAGUGGCGAAGGCGGCUUUCUGGUCUGUAACUGACGCUGAGGCGCGAAAGCGUGGGGAGCAAACAGGAUUAGAUACCCUGGUAGUCCACGCCGUAAACGAUGAGUGCUAAGUGUUAGGGGGGUUUCCGCCCCCCUUAGUGCUGCAGCUAACGCAUUAAGCACUCCGCCUGGGAGUACUGCCGCAAGGCUG
rnacentral:rRNA from 1 species